CUUCGUUGCUUUGCCAUCUGAAGAAGAGGAAUACAGGAAGAAGGUCAUCGUUGUCAUCGUUGUCCUGCUCAGGAUCCUCAGUGUGGUGGCGAUGGCGACGGUGCUGUUGUGUCUGGUGGCGAUGGUGGCGGGGCUGAUUUUCUUGGCAUGGCCUAUAAAAUCCAAACAAGUCAUAUACUCUCAAGCUUGUAAAGAGGAAAAGCCAAAAAGCAAAGAAGAAGAAGAAGGACAAUUAACUGUUUCCACCGACUGUGAGUCUGAAUCUGAAUGAGAGGCAGUAGCCGUCACAUGGCGUUGGAAUUCUUUCAGAGGACUUUCUCAUCGCACCGCAUUUGGAAAUCCAGAUGUUUUUUUUCUUCAAAUCAAAAAUAAUUAUGUUUCUCUCAAGUUUCUGCUCAUCACCUACAACCUGAAGACUAUGGCUGGCCCAAGUGGAAAGUCACUUUAGUUUUGUGCAAUUAAACAAAUCAAGUCAGUGGUUACCACCGAUUGAAAGUUACAUCAUGAAAGUGUGAAUGAAUUUGAGCCCUUAAAAACGUUCAGACUCUUUAAUCAAGCAAUUUAUUAUUAUAAAAUACAUUUUUAAAAAUCUAAGAAAAUAGAUCAUACAUCAGGUAAAUAAUAAAAUAGUGAUGAUUUCAAUAGUUUGAGAAUGUGUUGUAUAUUAUUUUCAUUUUACAGAUUGAGUAAAUUCACACACACCCUGUCUCGAUUUUUUUUGUUUGAAGGAAAUAAAAAUGUUAGAACUGUUACAAUGUAAAAUGUACAUCCCUGCAUUUUAUUCUUGUUGUUGUUGUUGACACGUUUGCAAAAAAACACUUGCUGUCACGUGAGUAAAUUCACAUCUACCCUGUCUCGAUUUUCAAGAUUUUUUGAAGGAAAUAAAAAUGUUAGAACUGUUACAAUGUAAAAUGUACAUCCCUGCAUUUUAUUCUUGUUGUUGACAUGCUUGCAAUAAAACGUUUGCUGUCACGCCCCCCAC